GAUGAACGCUCGCUGUGUGCCUAAUACAUGCAUGUUGAACGGGAUGUAGCAAUACAUUCAGUAGCGAAUGGGUGAGUAACACGUACCUAACCUACCUUUAAGACUGGGAUAACUAUUGGAAACAAUAGCUAAUACCGGAUAUAGUUAUUUAUCGCAUGAUGAGUAAUAGAAAGGAGCUUCACAGCUUCACUUAAAAAUGGGGGUGCGGAACAUUAGUUAGUUGGUAGGGUAAUGGCCUACCAAGACGAUGAUGUUUAGCCGGGCCGAGAGGCUGUACGGCCACACUGGGACUGAGAUACGGCCCAGACUCCUACGGGAGGCAGCAGUAAGGAAUUUUCCACAAUGAGCGAAAGCUUGAUGGAGCGACACAGCGUGCAGGAUGAAGUUCUUCGGAAUGUAAACUGCUGUUAUAAGGGAAGAAAAAAUAGAAUAGGAAAUGAUUUUAUCUUGACGGUACCUUAUUAGAAAGCGACGGCAAACUAUGUGCCAGCAGCCGCGGUAAUACAUAGGUCGCAAGCGUUAUCCGGAAUUAUUGGGCGUAAAGCGUCCGUAGGUUUUUUGCUAAGUCUGGAGUUAAAUGCUGAAGCUCAACUUCAGUCCGCUUUGGAUACUGGCAAAAUAGAAUUAUAAAGAGGUUAGCGGAAUUCCUAGUGAAGCGGUGGAAUGCGUAGAUAUUAGGAAGAGUACCAAUAGGCGAAGGCAGCUAACUGGUUAUAUAUUGACACUAAGGGACGAAAGCGUGGGGAGCAAACAGG
rnacentral:rRNA from 1 species